rnacentral:rRNA from 1 species
CCCUUAGAUGUUCUGGGCCGCACGCGCGCUACACUGACGAAGUCAGCGAGCAUCUCCUACGCCGAAAGGUGCGGGGAAUCUUGUGAAACUUUGUCGUGCUGGGGAUUGAUUUUUGAAAUUCUUGAUCAUAAACGAGGAAUUCCUAGUAAGCGCAAGUCAGCAGCUUGCGUUGAUUACGUCCCUGCCCUUUGUACACACCGCCCGUCGCUACUACCGAUUGAAUGGUUUAGUGAGAUGUUUGGACCGGAACUCUCUUGCUCAGCAAUGGGCGAGGGAGAGUCUGGGAAGUCCCUCUAACUGUAUCAUUUAGAGGAAGUAAAAGUCGUAACA